rnacentral:rRNA from 1 species
AGAGUUUGAUCCUGGCUCAGAAUAAACAUUGGCGGCGCGCCUAACACAUGCAAGUCGAACGAGAAAUCUCGAGCUUGCUCGAGAAAGUAAAGUGGCGAACGGGUGAGUAACGUGUGGGUAACCUGUCCUUAAAUCCGGAAUAAUCCACCGAAAGGUGGCCUAAUACCAGAUAAUGUCUUUUAGGCUAAGGCCUGGAAGUCUAAAGCUGACCUAUUCAUGAAAGUUGGCGUUUAAGGAGGGGCCUGCAUACCAUUAGCUUGUUGGUAGGGUAAAAGCCUACCAAGGCUUCGAUGGUUAGCUGAUCUGAGAAGAUGACCAGCCACACUGGAACUGAAACACGGUCCAGACUCCUACGGGAGGCAGCAGUGGGGAAUAUUGCACAAUGGGGGAAACCCUGAUGCAGCGACGCCGCGUGAGCGAAGAAGGUUUUCGGAUCGUAAAGCUCUGUCCUUGGGGAAGAAAAUGACGGUACCCAAGGAGGAAGCCCCGGCUAACUACGUGCCAGCAGCCGCGGUAAUACGUAGGGGGCGAGCGUUGUCCGGAAUUACUGGGCGUAAAGGGUACGUAGGCGGUUAAUUAAGUCAGGUGUAAAAGGCAUAGGCUCAACCUGUGUAAGCAUCUGAAACUGGAUAACUUGAGUAUAGGAGAGGUAAGUGGAAUUCCUAGUGUAGCGGUGAAAUGCGUAGAUAUU